UGGGGAAUCUUAGACAAUGGGGGAAACCUUGAUCUAGCCAUGCCGCGUGAUCGAUGAAGGCCUUAGGGUUGUAAAGAUCUUUCAGUUGGGAAGAUAAUGACUGUACCAACAGAAGAAACCCCGGCUAACUCCGUG
rnacentral:rRNA from 1 species